rnacentral:lncRNA from 1 species
UGCAACGAAUCCACGAAAGUUAUAAUUAACAUUAACUUGAGAAAGAGUCGUGGCUCCACUUAAUGUUAAAUUCCAUUUGAUCUUAAUUGAAAGGAGGCACAGAGUUACAGGAAACAGACCCUUGCAUUGAAAAGGUCGCGGUAACUUGCUUAGAAUCUUCCAAGAGACAGAAGGCGAUCUUGAGAGCGUAGACAUUUGGAAGCCGAUAGGUUAAGCCUUUAACACUCCACACCAGCAAAACUCUCCUGCGAUGCCCUGAAGGCCUUGGCGCUAGGAUUUAUUUCUCUCCUAUUCUAAAACAGGCCCAGAACUUAAUUUUGCUUUUGAAGUGGGUGAUUCUCCACAACACUUUAUCAAUUUGUUUUCCAUUACCUUCUUCCUAAUGCUUAGCUGUCUCUCACAGGGUACCAUCUUUGACCUUUUAUGACUAGCUAAGUUUUUUCAGAGAAAGUACUGAAAUAGAAAGGGACUGAAUAAAGCAAUUUUAAAAAGUCGACUCAUCAAAUGUUUAUUUAAGUUUCUCACAUCCGAGGGAUCAUUCUAGGUCUGGGUUCCUGCUCUCAAGGAAUUUGAAGGGAAGACAGAGGCACAAUGGAGACCAGAGGAAAACAGACCUUGUGGAUGGGGACACAGGAAGCACCUCUUCAUUCUUUCGGAGGAGAGGGGGAUCUGCAUGGCUGGUGAUGAUGAGGGAUACGGAGCUGAGGAGAAGGAUCUUAAGGGAAAAUAUUGACAACAUUGGUUUUAGAUGUUUCAUAAGAGUUGACAAUCAUUGUCAUGAAGUCGGAAGAGCCAUCUGAACUGCAGGAGCAUUGAUUCUACCAGAGAAAUUAACCACCGUGAACAUGUCAUGGAUUAGUGAAUAAAACCACUCCAAUUCUUGUCCUCA